rnacentral:rRNA from 1 species
GUCCCUAUCUGUCGUGGGCGCUGGAGAACUGAGGGAGGCUGCUCCUAGUACGAAAGGACCGGAGUGGACGCAUCACUGGCGUUCGGGUUGUCAUGCCAAUGGCACUGCCCGGUAGCUCAAUGCGGAAGAGAUAAGUGCUGAAAGCAUCUAAGCACGAAACUUGCCCCGAGAUGAUUUCUCCCUGACUCCUUGAGAGUCCUGAUGGAACGUUGAAGACGACGACGUUGUUAGGCCGGGUGUGUAAGCGCAG